GUGCUUGUUUUGGCAGCAUAUAUACCAAAAUUGGAAUGAUACAAAGAAGAUUAGAAUGGCCCUUGCACAAGGAUGACACGCAAAUUUGUGAAGCAUUCCAUAAACUG